rnacentral:rRNA from 1 species
UGACGAAGGGGGCGUAGCGUUUGCUCGGAAUUACUGGGCGUAAAGCGCACGUAGGCGGCUUUCUAAGUCGGAGGUGAAAUCCUGGAGCUCAACUCCAGAACUGCCUUCGAUACUGGCGAUCUAGAGUCCGGAAGAGGUGAGUGGAACUCCUAGUGUAGAGGUGGAAUUCGUAGAUAUUAGGAAGAAACACCAGUGGCGAAGGGCGGCUCACUGGCCCCGAUACUGACGCUGAGGAGCGAAAGCGUGGGGGAGCGAACGAGG